rnacentral:lncRNA from 1 species
GAGACUUUGAAAUUUCUAUUUCACUGAAACAAUUUUUCGCAGACCACAGUUUUUUGUGGAACCAAACGGCCUCCAGGGUAAAAGGAUAUUUUGCUUUCUUUCUAGUUUAAUUUUGUCUCUUUUCAUGUUAUUGGUCUUCGAGAUGGAUUCUUGGUAGUCAAUUAUUUUAUUAUGUUUUUGAUUAAAGCAAUUUAAUAUAUUUCUAAGUUUUUGUGUUUGGUCAAUCUUUAAGCCUGUAAGUUCAUCUCUUACUUGAUAAGAUGCCAUUCUGUGAGAGAUCUUUAUGACAUAAAGAGGUUCUUGAUCUUUAUGAUUUUUUUUUGUCUUCACGGUUGCUUACAAGUGUUUGUAGUUUUCUGCUGCAAGGAUAAUAUGAUUUCAUAAUGAUUUGUAUUUGCUUGAUUUUCUUGCUAUAAGAUUAUUUUUUAUUCUAUGAAUCAAGACGACAAUUUUUCUGUUAACAGGGAAGUUACUUUUUGAUCUUAUUUCUUAUAUGAAGAACGUAUUACUUUUGGUCGGUAAAUAGAUGCAAUGCUUACAUAAUGCGUAGUAACUGGCUUCCGGCUUUAGAAUUACAAACUUCUUACUUUCUUACGGAAGGUCCUCUUUUCGUCGACCUUUUUUCUCUAGUUCAGCUGUACAUAAUCGUUCGUUUAUUUAUACUAAGUUUGAGCUUUUGGGCUUUGGUAUUGCUUCAAUCACCUUUUGAAAUAAAUUUUAGCUAUGCUAUUUGCAGUUAAAGUUCAUCAUUAUCCGGAGCUUUUUAAUGUAGGCUGAAAUUUUAAUUCAUUAUUAUUUGGACGUGUUUAUAUUUCGGUUUGGUAUGAGUUGCUAUGAAUAGUUGGAGCUUAAGAGUAAAAAAUGGGGAUUUAAUAAAUGGUGAUUGCAACUUUUAGUCACUUUGUUGUCAGUUUCAGUUUCUUGUUAGUUGUUUGGUCACCUUUUUCUUUAUUGAUGGUUUUACCAAUUUAUUUGUAUGAAAGAUUUGGUAUAACUGGAAAGCAUUUCGAGCGGAGUGUAAUGAGAUUUGUGUGUGUGUGUGUGUGUGUGUGCGCGUGUGUCUCAAGCAUUGAAAUUAAUAUUGUUAUAUAUCUUUAUUAUUUCUGCUAUACUUGUGCUUUGAAGAAAUUUAUCAACUGUAUGCUGUGUUUAUCCUUAUUGGCUGCAAAUAGUCGGAGCAAAUAGUGAUGAGUUAGUGAGUUCGAUUGUAUAUUGUUCCCAUUUAUUUUAUUACAUUUUGUGUAGCGAAUGAUAUUGUUCGCACUAUAAAUCCUUACUCUAUUAUGACUUUAGUUUUGUUCUAAUAUAUGUAGUUUCAUAAUAUCUAUAAAUUGAUCUUUUUUAGUUAUUAAGAAAUUUAGACUCUAUUCUUACUGCACUUAGCUAUUUUUAUGGCCAUUAGAGAUCAAAUCUCUUUAGAAACUAUUUUCUUUUUUAAUGAAAUUUAGUAAAAGAAUUUAUGCGAAUGUGUGCCAAGUGCAAAGAACUCAUACCAAUGUGUACUAAAAUGAUAGUGGUGUGCCGCUAGCGUGGAGGGGCGUGUCAGCAUUCGCAUGUCUUGUGCUGCUGUGUCGUGUUGUGCUGUGCCAUUAGUAUGGUAAUCCUUGUAUCACAAAGGAAAAAUAAAUUUUUCGUUCUUUUACUUUUCCUUUAAAACAAUUACAGUCCAAAAACUUUUUUUUUUCCUAAAAAUACCAAACAUCUGAGACUCUGAAAUUUCUAUUUCUCUGAAACAAUUUUUCGCAGAACACAGUUUUUUGUGGAACCAAAUGGCCUCCAGGGUAAAGGAUUUUUUGCUUUCUUUCUAGUUUAAUUUUGUCUCCUUUCAUGUUAUUGGUCUACGAGAUGGAUUCUUGGUAGUCAAUUAUUUUAUUAUGUUUUUGAUUAAAGCAAUUUAAUAUAUUUCUAAGUUCUCAUGUUUGGUCAAUCUUUAAGCCUGUAAGUUCAUCUCUUGAUAAGAUGUCAUUUUGUGAGAGAUCUUUAUGACAUAAAGAGGUUCUUGAUCUUUAUGGUUUUUUUUGUGUUCACGGUCGCUUACGAGUGUUUGUAGUUUUCUGCUGCAAGAAUAAUAUGAUUUUAGAAAUGAUUUGUAUUUGCUUGAUUUUUGUGACGCCCUAACUUUCCAGGGGUCACCCAUCCUAGGACUACUCCCGUCCUAGCACACUUAACUCUCUUAACCUCUUGGACCUUACCACCACCCAAAAUAUUUAAGCCGGGUUAAGAGUUUUUAAUCCUAUUAUAUUUUAUAUAUAGGACUACAUGGGGUCUCACAAUCUCCCCUUUUAAGCCCUGACAUUCUCCUCAGGCUCAAACUCACAAGUACCAGGUGACAUUCUUGUUUAUUUAUACUAAGUUUGAGCUUUUGGGCUUUGGUAUUGCUUCAAUCACCUUUUGAAAUAAAUUUUAAAGUUCAUCUUUUCCUGGAGCUUUUUAAUGUAGUUUGAAAUUUUAAUUCAUUAUUAUUUGGACGUAUUUAUAUUUCGGUUUGGUAUGAGUUGCUGUGAAUAGUUGGAGCUUAAGAGUGAAAAAUAGGGACAAUAAAUAGUGAUUGCAACUUUAAAUCACUUUGUUGUCAGUUUUAGUUUCUGUUAGUUGUUUGGUCACCUUUUUUCUUUAUUGAUGGUUUUACCACUUUAUAUUAAAGAUUUGGUAUAACAGGAAAGCAUUUCGAGUAAUGAGAUUUGUGUGUGUGUGUGUGUUUGUCUCAAGCAUUGAAAUUAAUAUUGUUAUAUAUCAUUAUUAUUUUUGCUAUGCUUGUGCUUUGAAGAAAUUUAUCAACUGUAUGCUGUGUUUAUCCUUGUUGACCGCAAAUAGUCAGAGCAAAUAGUGAUGAGUUAGUUCGAUUGUAUAUUGAGACCAACUAUACAAAUAAGAAGACUUUUUCCCAUUUCUUUUAUUUCUUUUUGUGUAGCGAAUGAUAUUGUUCGUACUAUAAAUCCUUACUCUAUUAUGACUUUAGUUUUGUUCUAAUAUGUAGUUUCAUAAUAUCUAUAAAUUGAUCUUUUUUAGUUAUUAAGAUAUGUUGACUCUAUUCUUACUGCACUCAGCUAUUUUUAUGGCCAUUAGAGAUCAAAUCUCUUUAGAAACUAUUUUCUUUUUUAAUAAAAUUUUGUAAAAGAACUUAUGCAAAUGUGCGCCAAGUGCAGAGAACUCAUACCAAUGUGUACUAAAAUGACAGUGGUGUGUCGCUAGCGUGGAGGGACGUGUCAGCAUUCGCAUGUCUUGUGCUGUCGUGUCGUGUUGUGCUGUGCCAUUGGCAUGGUAAUCCUUGUAUCACAAAGGUUAAAUAAAUUUUUCGUUGUUUUACUUUUCCUUUAAAACAAUUACGGUCGAAAAAAUUUUUCUUUCCGACAUACCAAACAUCUGAGACUCUGAAAUUUCUAUUUCACUGAAACAAUUUUUCGCAGACCACAGUUUUUUUUGUAGCCAAACAGCCUCCAGGGUAAAAGGAUUUUUCGCUUUCCUUCUAGUUUAAUUUUGUCUCGUUUCUUGUUAUUGGACUUUCAGAUGGAUUCUUGGUAGUCAAUUAUUUUAUUAUGUUUUUGAUUAAAGCAAUUUAAUAUAUUUCUAAGUUUUCUUGUUUGGUCAAUCUUUAAGCCUGUAAGUUUUUCUCUUACUUGAUAAUAUGCCAUUCUGUGAGGCAUCUUUCUGAC